rnacentral:rRNA from 1 species
UGGGAAGGCCCAGACAGCCAGGAUGUUGGCUUAGAAGCAGCCAUCAUUUAAAGAAAGCGUAAUAGCUCACUGGUCGAGUCGGCCUGCGCGGAAGAUGUAACGGGGCUAAACCAUGCACCGAAGCUGCGGCAGCGACACCGUGUGUUGUUGGGUAGGGGAGCGUUCUGUAAGCCUGUGAAGGUGUGCUGUGAGGCAUGCUGGAGGUAUCAGAAGUGCGAAUGCUGACAUAAGUAACGAUAAAGCGGGUGAAAAGCCCGCUCGCCGGAAGACCAAGGGUUCCUGUCCAACGUUAAUCGGGGCAGGGUGAGUCGACCCCUAAGGCGAGGCCGAAAGGCGUAGUCGAUGGGAAACGGGUUAAUAUUCCCGUACUUGGUGUUACUGCGAAGGGGGGACGGAGAAGGCUAUGUUGGCCGGGCGACGGUUGUCCCGGUUUAAGCGUGUAGGUAUGUGUUCCAGGUAAAUCCGGUUCACUUUAACACUGAGGCGUGACGACGAGGCACUACGGUGCUGAAGCAACAAAUGCCCUGCUUCCAGGAAAAGCCUCUAAGCAUCAGGUAACAUCAAAUCGUACCCCAAACCGACACAGGUGGUCAGGUAGAGAAUACCAAGGCGCUUGAGAGAACUCGGGUGAAGGAACUAGGCAAAAUGGUGCCGUAACUUCGGGAGAAGGCACGCUGACACGUAGGUGAAGUGAUUUACUCACGGAGCUGAAGUCAGCCGAAGAUACCAGCUGGCUGCAACUGUUUAUUAAAAACACAGCACUGUGCAAACACGAAAGUGGACGUAUACGGUGUGACGCCUGCCCGGUGCCGGAAGGUUAAUUGAUGGGGUCAGCGCAAGCGAAGCUCCUGAUCGAAGCCCCGGUAAACGGCGGCCGUAACUAUAACGGUCCUAAGGUAGCGAAAUUCCUUGUCGGGUAAGUUCCGACCUGCACGAAUGGCGUAAUGAUGGCCAGGCUGUCUCCACCCGAGACUCAGUGAAAUUGAACUCGCUGUGAAGAUGCAGUGUACCCGCGGCAAGACGGAAAGACCCCGUGAACCUUUACUAU